rnacentral:rRNA from 1 species
UACGUAGGUGGCAAGCGUUGUUCGGAAUUACUGGGCGUAAAGGGCUCGUAGGUGGCCAACUAAGUCAGACGUGAAAUCCCUCAGCUUAACUGGGGAACUGCGUCUGAUACUGGAUGGCUUGAGUUUGGGAGAGGGAUGCGGAAUUCCAGGUGUAGCGGUGAAAUGCGCAGAGAUCGGGAGGAACACCCGUAGCGAAGGCGGCGCUCUGGGCCGGUACUGACGCUGAGGAGCGAAAGCGUGGGGAGCAAACAGG